GCACCUCCCCGUCUUGUAGGCCCAGUUGGUUAGAGCGCGCGCUUGAUAAGCGUGAGGUCGGAGGUUCAAGUCCUCCCAGGCCCACCAUUCCUUUCGACACGAAGGUUAUCAGGGGCCGUAGCUCAGCUGGGAGAGCGCCUGCUUUGCAAGCAGGAUGUCGUCGGUUCGAUCCCGUCCGGCUCCACCAACCAUCUUCUGCGAAGAUGGGGCGUGUCGAGUAGAGACGGUGAGAAAAAAGUCAUUCGAAAAAGAGUUUGCGUCGAGCCUCUUGGCUCUGCGCCUGUUCUGUUUGACAUCGUAAAGAGAAGAUUUGUUCGAACUUCAUGAGCCGCAAGGUCUCAUGAUUUGUCGCAAGGGACGCUCAAUCCCUUGCCUAUGAUGGGUUUGCCUAACCGCGCCCUCGAACGGAUCUCGAGAAGCUGGUCUUUUUGUGCCAAUUCCAACCAGUAAUACCCCGCACAGGGUGUUGCUGGAGCGACGAUCCUUCGGAUCGCGCUUAGCCAAUCCUGCAAGGGCGAGGCUGAAGCGACGAUCCCCGCGGGAUCGCGCGAUGAUGGGUAUUGGCAAUGAGAACGAUCAAGUGUCUUAAGGGCAAUUGGUGGAUGCCUUGGCAUGCACAGGCGAUGAAGGACGUGAUACGCUGCGAUAAGCUACGGGGAGGUGCGAAUACCCUUUGAUCCGUAGAUCUCCGAAUGGGGAAAAACCCGGA
rnacentral:misc_RNA from 1 species